AGAGAUCAGCUAACAACACAACGGCGUAAAGCGUGGUUAAGAAUACAAAAAACUAAGGUCGAACACCCUCAUGGUCGUGAUACAUAUCCGAACCUACGAAGCCCAACCACGAAAGUAACCUUACAUAAUCUGACUCCACGAAAACUAUGACACAAACUGGGAUUAGAUACCCCACUAUGCUUAGUUAUAAACUUUAAUAGUUCACCAUAUUAACUAUUCGCCAGAGAACUACGAGCAUUAGCUUAAAACCCAAAGGACUUGGCGGUGCUUAAUACCCAUCUAGAGGAGCCUGUUCUAUAACCGAUAAUCCCCGUUAAACCUUACCCUCUCUUGCUCAAUUCCGCUUAUAUACCGCCGUCGUCAGCUUACCCCCCAAGAGCCCAACAGUAAGCACAAUCAGUACAACUCAAAACGUCAGGUCGAGGUGUAGUGUAUGGGAGGGAAAGAAAUGGGCUACAUUCUCUAUUACUAGUAGCACGAAUAAUACAUUGAAACAUGUAUCUUGAAGGUGGAUUUAGAAGUAAGUAGAAAAUAGAGUGUUCUACUGAAGUUGGCUCUAAAGCGCGCACACACCGCCCGUCACUCUCCCCGAACAAUACAAAAAAAAUCAAUAAUAAGUUAUCAACCACAAUAGGGGAGACAAGUCGUAACAUGGUAAGUGUACCGGAAGG
rnacentral:rRNA from 1 species